rnacentral:rRNA from 1 species
AAGACCUUGCGCUUUUGGAGCGGCCGAUGCCUGAUUAGCUUGUUGGUAAGGUAAAAGCUUACCAAGGCUUCGAUCAGUAGCUGGUCUGAGAGGACGGCCAGCCACACUGGGACUGAGACACGGCCCAGACUCCUACGGGAGGCAGCAGUGGGGAAUUUUGGACAAUGGGGGCAACCCUGAUCCAGCCAUGCCGCGUGAGUGAAGAAGGCCUUCGGGUUGUAAAGCUCUUUCAGCCGGGAAGAAAAGGUUGCGAUUAAUAAUCGCAAUUUAUGACGGUACCGGAAGAAGAAGCACCGGCUAACUACGUGCCAGCAGCCGCGGUAAUACGUAGGGUGCGAGCGUUAAUCGGAAUUACUGGGCGUAAAGGGUGCGCAGGCGGUUUUGUAAGUCAGAUGUGAAAUCCCCGGGCUUAACCUGGGAACU